GAUGAACGCUGGCGGCGUGCCUAACACAUGCAAGUCGAGCGAAGCACUUUGCUUAGAUUCUUCGGAUGAAGAGGAUUGUGACUGAGCGGCGGACGGGUGAGUAACGCGUGGGUAACCUGCCUCAUACAGGGGGAUAACAGUUAGACAUGACUGCUAAUACCGCAUAAGACCACAGCACCGCAUGGUGCGGGGGUAAAAACUCCGGUGGUAUGAGAUGGACCCGCGUCUGAUUAGCUAGUUGGUAAGGUAACGGCUUACCAAGGCGACGAUCAGUAGCCGACCUGAGAGGGUGACCGGCCACAUUGGGACUGAGACACGGCCCAAACUCCCACGGGAGGCAGCAGUGGGGAAUAUUGCACAAUGGGGGAAACCCUGAUGCAGCGACGCCGCGUGAGCGAAGAAGUAUUUCGGUAUGUAAAGCUCUAUCAGCAGGGAAGAAAAUGACGGUACCUGACUAAGAAGCACCGGCUAAAUACGUGCCAGCAGCCGCGGUAAUACGUAUGGUGCAAGCGUUAUCCGGAUUUACUGGGUGUAAAGGGAGCGUAGACGGAUGGGCAAGUCUGAUGUGAAAACCCGGGGCUCAACCCCGGGACUGCAUUGGAAACUGUUCAUCUAGAGUGCUGGAGAGGUAAGUGGAAUUCCUAGUGUAGCGGUGAAAUGCGUAGAUAUUAGGAGGAACACCAGUGGCGAAGGCGGCUUACUGGACAGUAACUGACGUUGAGGCUCGAAAGCGUGGGGAGCAAACAGG
rnacentral:rRNA from 1 species